UGUCAAAAAUUCCAUCAAAUUUUUCUAAUAAAAACUGGAAUGACUAACAAAAUAACCAAACAAUAACACAUUAUAUGUCAUGUGUACCUCAUGCUGACAUUUAAAGAUCAACUUUUAACAAUAAAAAUGGAUAAAAUUUUUAACA
rnacentral:pre_miRNA from 1 species